rnacentral:rRNA from 1 species
AUCGAUUUAAUCGUAUAAAAUUCUGGGUAGGAUUAUGAUAAUGACAUAGUCUACCUAUAUUUCUUGACCAAAUUACGUGCCAGCAGUCGCGGUAAUACGUAGAAGAUAAGUGUUAUUCAUCUUUAACAGGUUUAAAGGGUACCUAGACAGCAAAUAAAGCCUUUUAUUUAAGAGGGACUAGUUUGCUAGAGUUACUUGUGAGGGGGCAUAAAAGUACUGUCGGUGUAGAGAUAAAAUUCUUUAAUACCCUUUUUUUCUCGAAAAUUAAUGGCACAAAUUUAGGCAAAAGCAUCCCCUUAUGUGAUAACUGACGUUGAAGGACGAAGGCUUCAUGUAGCGAACAGGAUUAGAUACCCCAAUAGUCGAAGCAGAAAAUGAUGAGUGUCAUAGAUUAGAUCUAUAUUUAUUCUAUAAAUUAAAGUGUAAGCAUUCCACCUCAAGAGUAAUUUGGCAACAUUGGAACUGAAAUCAUUAGACCGUUUCUGAAACCAGUAGUGAAGUAUGUUGUUCAAUUAGAUAACACACAAAAAA